rnacentral:rRNA from 1 species
UAAUGCAGUCGAGCGAACAGAUAAGGAGCUUGCUCCUUUGACGUUAGCGGCGGACGGGUGAGUAACACGUGGAUAACCUACCUAUAAGACUGGGAUAACUUCGGGAAACCGGAGCUAAUACCGGAUAACAUAUUGAACCGCAUGGUUCAAUAGUGAAAGGCGGCUUUGCUGUCACUUAUAGAUGGAUCCGCGCCGUAUUAGCUAGUUGGUAAGGUAACGGCUUACCAAGGCAACGAUACGUAGCCGACCUGAGAGGGUGAUCGGCCACACUGGAACUGAGACACGGUCCAGACUCCUACGGGAGGCAGCAGUAGGGAAUCUUCCGCAAUGGGCGAAAGCCUGACGGAGCAACGCCGCGUGAGUGAUGAAGGUCUUCGGAUCGUAAAACUCUGUUAUCAGGGAAGAACAAAUGUGUAAGUAACUGUGCACAUCUUGACGGUACCUGAUCAGAAAGCCACGGCUAACUACGUGCCAGCAGCCGCGGUAAUACGUAGGUGGCAAGCGUUAUCCGGAAUUAUUGGGCGUAAAGCGCGCGUAGGCGGUUUUUUAAGUCUGAUGUGAAAGCCCACGGCUCAACCGUGGAGGGUCAUUGGAAACUGGAAAACUUGAGUGCAGAAGAGGAAAGUGGAAUUCCAUGUGUAGCGGUGAAAUGCGCAGAGAUAUGGAGGAACACCAGUGGCGAAGGCGACUUUCUGGUCUGUAACUGACGCUGAUGUGCGAAAGCGUGGGGAUCAAACAGGAUUAGAUACCCUGGUAGUCCACGCCGUAAACGAUGAGUGCUAAGUGUUAGGGGGUUUCCGCCCCUUAGUGCUGCAGCUAACGCAUUAAGCACUCCGCCUGGGGAGUACGACCGCAAGGUUGAAACUCAAAGGA